AACGAACGCUGGCGGCAGGCUUAACACAUGCAAGUCGAACGGGUGUCGCAAGACAUCAGUGGCAGACGGGUGAGUAACACGUGGGAACCUUCCUAGGGGUACGGAACAACUCAGGGAAACUUGAGCUAAUACCGUAUACGUCCGUAAGGAGAAAGAUUCAUCGCCCCUAGACGGGCCCGCGUCGGAUUAGGUAGUUGGUGGGGUAACGGCCUACCAAGCCUGCGAUCCGUAGCUGAUCUGAGAGGAUGAUCAGCCACACUGGGACUGAGACACGGCCCAGACUCCUACGGGAGGCAGCAGUGGGGAAUCUUGGACAAUGGGCGCAAGCCUGAUCCAGCCAUGCCGCGUGAGUGAAGAAGGCCGUUAGGGUUAGUAAAGCUUCUUUUACCAGGGACGAUAAUGACGGUACCUGG
rnacentral:rRNA from 1 species